GGCGAACGGGUGAGUMMCACGUGGGUAAUCUGCCCUUCACUCUGGGACAAGCCCUGGAAACGGGGUCUAAUACCGGAUAUCACUGCCAUGGGCAUCUGUGGUGGUUGAAAGCUCCGGCGGUGAAGGAUGAGCCCGCGGCCUAUCAGCUUGUUGGUGAGGUAACGGCUCACCAAGGCGACGACGGGUAGCCGGCCUGAGAGGGCGACCGGCCACACUGGGACUGAGACACGGCCCAGACUCCUACGGGAGGCAGCAGUGGGGAAUAUUGCACAAUGGGCGCAAGCCUGAUGCAGCGACGCCGCGUGAGGGAUGACGGCCUUCGGGUUGUAAACCUCUUUCAGCAGGGAAGAAGCGAAAGUGACGGUACCUGCAGAAGAAGCGCCGGCUAACUACGUGCCAGCAGCCGCGGUAAUACGUAGGGCGCAAGCGUUGUCCGGAAUUAUUGGGCGUAAAGAGCUCGUAGGCGGCUUGUCACGUCGGGUGUGAAAGCCCGGGGCUUAACCCCGGGUCUGCAUUCGAUACGGGCAGGCUAGAGUGUGGUAGGGGAGAUCGGAAUUCCUGGUGUAGCGGUGAAAUGCGCAGAUAUCAGGAGGAACACCGGUGGCGAAGGCGGAUCUCUGGGCCAUUACUGACGCUGAGGAGCGAAAGCGUGGGGAGCGAACAGGAUUAGAUACCCUGGUAGUCCACGCCGUAAACGGUGGGAACUAGGUGUUGGCGACAUUCCACGUCGUCGKGCCGCAGCUAACGCAUUAAGUUCCCGCCUGGGGGAGUACGGCGCAGGCUAAACUCAAGGAAUGACGGGGGCCGCACAGCAGCGGAGCAUGUGGCUAUCGACGCACGCGAGACUACAUGCUGACAUACACGAAAGCAU
rnacentral:rRNA from 1 species